rnacentral:rRNA from 1 species
CCUACGGGGGGCAGCAGUAGGGAAUUUUCGGCAAUGGGGGGAACCCUGACCGAGCAACGCCGCGUGAAGGAAGAAGGAAUUCGUUCUGUAAACUUCUGUUAUAAAGGAAGAAAGACGGAUGGAGGAAAUGACAUCCGAGUGACGGUACUUUAUGAGAAAGCCACGGCUAACUACGUGCCAGCAGCCGCGGUAAUACGUAGGUGGCAAGCGUUAACCGGAAUUUUUGGGCGAAAGGAGGGAGCAGGCGGCAGAAAAGGUCUGAGGUGAAAGACUGAAGCUUAACUUCAGUAAGCCAUAGAUACCGUGCAGCUAGAGUGCAGGAGAGGAUCGUGGAAUGCCAUGUGUAGCGGUGAAAUGCGUAGAUAUAUGGAGGAACACCAGUUGCUAAGGCGACGAUCUGGCCUGCAACUGACGCUCAGGCCCGAAAGCGUGGGGAGCAAAUAGGAUUAGAUACCCUUGUAGUC